rnacentral:rRNA from 1 species
GACGAACGCUGGCGGUAUGCUUAACACAUGCAAGUCGAGCGAGAAUCGUUUAUUGAAGGCUUCGGCUGGAAAUAGAUGAGGAAAGCGGCGAACGGGUGAGUAACGCGUGGGCAACCUGGCCUUAAGAAAAGGAUAGCCCCCGGAAACGGGGAGUAAUACUUUAUGAGAAUGAAAGAGGGCAUCCUACUUUCAUUCAAAGCGCAAGCGCUUAAGGAUGGGCCCGCGUAUCAUUAGCUAGUUGGUGAGAUAACAGCCCACCAAGGCAACGAUGAUUUGCCGGUCUGAGAGGGCGAAAUGCCACAUUGGAACUGAGAGACGGUCCAAACUCCUACGGGAGGCAGCAGUGGGGAAUAUUGCGCAAUGGAGAAGAACUCUGACGCAGCAAUACCGCGUGAGCGAAGAAGGUCUUCGGAUCGUAAAGCUCUGUUAUCAGGGAAGAAGAAAAUGACGGUACCUGAUGAGCAAGUCCCGGCUAACUACGUGCCAGCAGCCGCAGUAA